rnacentral:tmRNA from 1 species
GGGGGCGAACAGGGUUCGACGGAAGGAAGGAGAUCAAGGUUGCAUGCACGGGUAGCCGUUGGCCCGUGAAAAAACGGCAUAAAACAUAAUCGCCAACGAUUAUGAAGUAGCCGUAGCGGCUUAACUAAGUCCGCUACCGUCCGCUUUCCUCUCGUCCGUGGAGGGAAGGCCGGGCGUCAGACUCACGGACUGGUUUGAUUCGAAGGUCUCGGACGAAUCAAACGAGAAUUCUCGAGACUGGCCUGAAUCAGAUCCUGCCUUUGGGAGAGGAUUCGGGCGAGAUUCAAAACAAAGGCUAAGCAUGUAGACGCCUUGGGUGGAAACCUUUCGGACGGGGGUUCGAUUCCCCCCGCCUCCACCA